GAUGAACGCUAGCUACAGGCUUAACACAUGCAAGUCGCAGGGUAACAUGAGGAAAGCUUGCUUUCCUUGAUGACGACUGGCGCACGGGUGAGUAACGCGUAUCCAACCUUCCCAUAACUACGGGAUAACCCGUUGAAAGACGGCCUAAUACCGUAUGAUAUCGUUUGCUGACAUCAAAUAACGAUUAAAGGUUUAGCGGUUAUGGAUGGGGAUGCGUCUGAUUAGCUUGUUGGCGGGGUAACGGCCCACCAAGGCGACGAUCAGUAGGGGUUCUGAGAGGAAGGUCCCCCACAUUGGAACUGAGACACGGUCCAAACUCCUACGGGAGGCAGCAGUGAGGAAUAUUGGUCAAUGGGCGAGAGCCUGAACCAGCCAAGUAGCGUGCAGGACGACGGCCCUAUGGGUUGUAAACUGCUUUUAUGUGGGGAUAAAGUGCGUGACGUGUCAUGCAUUGCAGAUACCACAUGAAUAAGGACCGGCUAAUUCCGUG
rnacentral:rRNA from 1 species